AUGAACGCUGGCGGCGUGCCUAAUCCCUGCAAGUCGAGCGCACGGACGAGAAGCUUGCUUCUCUGAUGUUAGCGGCGGACGGGUGAGUAACACGUGGAUAACCUACCUAUAAGACUGGGAUAACUUCGGGAAACCGUAGCUAAUACCGGAUAAUAUUUUGAACCGCAUGGUUCAAAAGUGAAAGACGGUCUUGCUGUCACUUAUAGAUGGAUCCGCGCUGCAUUAGCUAGUUGGUAAGGUAACGGCUUACCAAGGCAACGAUGCAUAGCCGACCUGAGAGGGUGAUCGGCCACACUGGAACUGAGACACGGUCCAGACUCCUACGGGAGGCAGCAGUAGGGAAUCUUCCGCAAUGGGCGAAAGCCUGACGGAGCAACGCCGCGUGAGUGAUGAAGGUCUUCGGAUCGUAAAACUCUGUUAUUAGGGAAGAACAUAUGUGUAAGUAACUGUGCACAUCUUGACGGUACCUAAUCAGAAAGCCACGGCUAACUACGUG
rnacentral:rRNA from 1 species